CAGUAGCCACGGUAAUACGAAGGGUGCAAGCGUUAAUCGGAAUUACUGGGCGUAAAGCGUGCGUAGGCGGUUUGUUAAGUCUGUCGUGAAAUCCCCGGGCUCAACCUGGGAAUGGCAAUGGAUACUGGCAAGCUAGAGUGUGUCAGAGGAUGGUGGAAUUCCCGGUGUAGCGGUGAAAUGCGUAGAGAUCGGGAGGAACAUCAGUGGCGAAGGCGGCCAUCUGGGACAACACUGACGCUGAGGCACGAAAGCGUGGGGAGCAAACAGGAUUAGAUACCCCCGUAGUCCCUGUCUCUUAUAU
rnacentral:rRNA from 1 species